GAUAGCCCUGGAACCUGGAGAUAGCCUUCAGUUGAUGAAACUCCUUGGGAACUCCAAGGAUGUGCUGUUCCCUAAGCAGUGCCUGCCGUUACACUCUGGUUUGCAUGUUUCUAAUUGGAGAGGACUGGCCAGACAAUGGCAAAUGUUAUCACUGUUUUUCCUGCUUUCCUGCGCAGAUCCUCAGACCCAUAGACGCUUCAGAGCAGAGUGUGGCCCACAACCAAGGUUUGGGCCCUGCUGCGGCUCAUUCUGCAUGCAAGUGGAAGACUGAAGGAGAGCCGCUCUUCAGGCUCCAUUAUGAAGUCUCAACACCGUUCUGUCGGGGACAACUAAAUGACAUCUAGACUGGAGUUACAAGGAACCUUGCUUUCAGGAAAGCAAGUAGAAGCUCGCUGGAAAAUAACAGGCUCUACAAACUACCCGGCAACGGAAAACGUCGACUUGGUAGAAAUGCGAAUUGCAAUGGACGUGAUGAGAAGAUAUCUUCAUAACCACACGGCCUGAUGAGGCUCGAUGAAAAUGUAAUGGACAAUUUGGUCCCGCAGAGCAAGCUCCAUACGGACCGGACCACAGAGACGCGGUUUCUCUGCUACCUUCCUCAUCAACGGCUGUAUCUCACCAACAAGAGGAGGCCGCUUCUUAAUCCAGGGCACUUUAAAUAUCUCAGAACAUUAGUGGAAGACUCGAUUUGCCUGUUCAUAGACAGUAUUCAUAUACUGAAUACUAAUGCGUACACACGCCAGGAGCAGCGCUGUUGACACAAAGGCACGCAUCGACAGUGAGGAUCUCGACGUCAAGAAGAUCGAAGUGACAUUUCUAGCUCGGCGAUGACAGGCACCAUUGUGUCUGGAACCCACAAGUUCAGAUCACUGUGAGCCUUGCCCAUCUGGUUUCUUGUUGGCAUUAAGAUACAGUGUGUGAAGGAUGUUCUUGGAGAAUAUUAAAAUCCUGGAAGAAACACCACCAAGCUUCUGGCUUAGUGUGGUAAAAGGUAAUUGUUUCUCUAGACUAAUGAAUGGGUAACAGAAAUAAGCAUCAGUUCUUUUAGUUCUGAACAGUGUGAUGCCAAAGUCGGUGAAUUUUAACGUAAAGGAUCUGAGAGAAAAUAUGUUUGCCUCUAUGAACAAGCUGGUUUCUUUAGAAAAAAAAGAAAAACAUGACUGAAAUAGAUAAUAGAUAAUAUGUGUGUCAUGUUCCUUAAAUACAUUAUUUACAGAGCCUGUCUGUGGAAAAAGCUUCGGUUAUUAAUCAGUCCAUUAGCAGACCUUUCCCUGUAAUCCAUAGAGUUGGGAAAAUGGUGCUUUGUGCUUUAUGUUUUCAGGGAGAAAGGGUUUGCUUGGGCUCACGGGUUGAACACACAGUCCCUUGCUGCAGAGCAAGCAUGGAGAUACAAGUCCUAUGUGUCUGCAUUCGGGAAACAUGAGAGGAGGAACCUCAGUGGUCAGCUCCCAUAGCUGUUUUGUCUUCUCUGACCCUAAUCCACGGGAUGGGACUACUCACAGUUAGGUUGGGCCGGCCCGACUCACUUAACCAGGUCGGGUAUCUUUCCUACAGAAAUGUCAAGUUCUGUCUAUUACACUAACUGCCAUCCUGGCAAGGGGACAGUGAAUAUGACCCACUGCAGCUCCCAAAGCUCCAGCCAUCUCAGUGAGCAGGGACAAACGAAGCCAGUGUCAGGGCUUUGGGAGUGAUCCUGAGUUCUGUGGUAUUCCUCCCACCCCAUUCUCUAACUGCCUCUCGGGGACCGAUGCUUCUUAAUGGCUCCUGCCUCACAACCUUGACUAAAAGAAGGCAAGUACUGAAAGACAGCAGCCACUAUUUUAUCAUCUCCUUACACAGAGUGUGAGGACUCAUUCUUGGGGCCACAGACCAUACAGCAAGUGAAUGAUAGGGAACAGGGAGCCACAGCCCUUUGCUCUCCAAUAUGGAAAAUAACUUUGUCUAGGCACAGUCACGGUAAGGCAGGGGAGAAAUAGUUUGGAAGGUCGUAGGUCCCAAAGGAAAGAAAAGAAGAGAGAAGCAAACAUCAGUUACCACACUGAUACCGUGAGGGAAUAAUGACUGUCAACAGGAGUAUUACUUAGGAAGGUCUGUGAUUGCAUUUGCCCCCUUAUACAGUGUAGUAACUAAGCUCACACACAUAUAUAUACACACAUACAUACAUAUAUAUGUAUAUAUGUAUAUAUAUAUACACACACAUACAUACAUCUCCCAAGGACGCAGACAAGAGUUAUAUUUUAUCUUCAGAUCUGAGAUUCUGAAUUGGAUUAAAGCUUUUCUGGGGCCUUGGUAUCAUAAAUUCCUCCUUACUCCUGUUAAGCAAUCUCCUUUUGACUUUUCCCACUACCUGAAUCAGACACAAUGGCUUGAAGCUCUUCCCAUUCUCCAUAGCCCCACUCUAUCUAUAUGCCACAGAAUAUGAACUUGUAGAGGGAGGGGGGAGUGACACCUCCCCUUAAGGAGAAACGUCUAUUCUUAGCCUUGCUUGCAUUCCCUGGAUGCCAGAUAAACUUUGAUGUGAGGAUUGAAAAUUCUGUGGCUGUCAUCCUAAAUACAUUAGAAAUAGCAUUUAGUUCUUACUGUGGGAGGAAAUUUAAGAAAACUUCAACAUGGAUAGAAUUACAUUUGUCUUGAUUCAAUCUUGGUGAACUUCAAGGGACCAGAGCGUAUUGCUUUCACUAUGCUGUCAUUUCUAAAAUCCAAAUUGCCAAAAGAAACAAAAAACAAACGAACAAAAACAAAAAAAUCCAAAAAACAAAGCAAAAACUGAAAAAAAACCAAAUAAAACCAAAAAACAAAAGUAAAAAAGAAAAACACCCCCUCCCCAAACUCCUAUAAUCAUCGAAGAGUGCAUUCAAGUGAGUUUAGUAGCAUUCCAAGAACGCCAAGGAUAGUGGCUCCAUGGUGGUCCAAGUUCUUCCAGGCACUGGCUCUUAGAGGGCCUGCUUCCCUUACUAGUGGGGAAGCAAGGCUCAGAGCAGCAAAGGUAAACUUUCCCUUAGUCUGAGUUAGGGGGAUAGUCAGACACGGUUGACUCCACAUUCCUCUCAGUUCACUGUUUCCCAACAUGCCUCCCUCUGUGCUCAACACCAAUUUAAAAGAGAAACAAGUGAAAUGGAACUUAUCAAGUGACACCCCGACAAACUAGCAAUAGCAAAAGUAAUGCCCUUCAGGUGGGAAAUGACAACACUGGCCAGGCUGUGACACCAAAGGUGUAAACGCAUGCUCCAGAGAGCUAAAGUCUGAGUUCCUUCUUUUCAACCCCUGUUAGUCAUUUCUGGUGGCUGACUAUUCUGGAAACAGUUAAGGUCAGUGUGCAUGCAUACUCUGCGACUGAUGGACAAACACGAAAUACUAUGCUUUUAAAGGUAUUUGGAUAUUGCCCAAAAACUACACUAUCAAGAAACAAAGAAACAUAAUGUGCUUACACCUCUAGUUUAGUUACUGUAUAAAGUCAUGCAUAACUCGUCUAUGAGAAACAAUGUGAAUGUUUUCAGUCCCGGCAUCUCGUCUACUAAACAGAAAAUAACAGGGGUCUUCAUGUCCUCCUGAAAUUCAUACAAAGAAUUCUCAUGUCACAGCUGUCUAAUGCCUAAAUUUAUAAUUCUUCAUUUGGGGAAUUUAAAAAGAGAAACUUAAGGAUUAAUUAUCUCUUUCAUAUUAAAAAUACAUGGAAAAUUCGUUUAAAAUACUUUCCUAUUGGAACACUCAAUAACAUAAACUAUAUUCUUUAAUAUGUAUGUAUCUCCAGGACCUAAAAAUUUUAACAGUACUCCCAUGAAUAGUAUGUGAUUAUCUCCAAUAUUUUAAGUGAAUUUCCAUUUCAACAUUUCUUUUUUUUUGUUUUUGCAUAGCUCCGAAUGGUCUUGAAAGUGGGUGCAAAUUUUCAGUUUUCUUUAUUUAGAAAUUUUCUGAGAGACACAGCCAGAAUACAGCAAAUACAGAGGCGUAUGCCAGCAGCAAACCACUGAACUGAGAAUAGGACCCCCGUUGAAGGAAUCAGAGAAAGAACUGGAAGAUCUUGAAGGGGCUCGAGACCCCAUAUGUACAACAAUGCCAAGCAACCAGAGCUUCCAGGGACUAAGCCACUACCUAAAGACUAUACAUGGACUGACCCUGGACUCUGACCUCAUAGGUAGCAAUGAAUAUCCUAGUAAGAGCACCAGUGGAAGGGGAAGUCCUGGGUCCUGCUAAGACUGAACCCCCAGUGAAUGUGAUUGUUGGGGGGAGAGUGGUAAUAGGGGGGAGGAUGAGGAGGGGAAGCCCAGACAGAUGGGGAGGGGGAGGGGCUAGGGGGAUGUUGGCCUGGAAACCGGGAAGGUGAAUAACAAUUGAAAUGUAAAUAAGAAAUACUCAAGUUAAUAAAGAUAAAAAAAAGAAAUUUUCUAAGUUAAAGGAAAUAAAUUAAUGUGUUGUGUGUUGCUUGCACAAGCUGACAGAGCCAUCACUUUAUUAUUCGCUAGACAAGCUGCAACCUGAUCAAGUUAUUCUGGAAAACAUCUGCACAAGCCCUAACUAUCUGUCAGAUACACAGGGCUCGACACAGCUGACUAGGAACAAAUCCUGCUCCACACCUCUGGUGUUUUUAUGGUGCGCCACCUCCCACAGUGUGCCUUGUUCAGUCUGUCAUUGCUUUCUGCAUGAAAACUCAUUCUGUUUCUCUCCUGCUGCUGCUGUGGCACAAGGAAUCUGGUGUGGAAGUCACAAAAAGAUGCUUGAUCUGUGAUGGAGGAGUAUCUGGAAGAAUUAGGAUCCAAUCACAUAUUUCUUCAUUCCUUCCUGUGUCUUGUUGACCCAUAAAACCAGCCAGUACAGCCAACAAACACUGGAACCAAGAAGUGUGCUGUUGCUGACGUAUACUCGAAAAUGUGACCACUGGGUCUUUGGAACAAGUUUGCAGGAGGAAUUUGGAAGAAUUUGAAGCUUUGGGGUAAAUGCCUUUCAAUACUAUAGGACAAGAUUAAGGGAACAUUCUGGUCAGAACUCAGAAGGCAAUUACACUGAAAGAAAUGUGGACCAGCAAAGGGCUAGCUCAUGAACUUUCAGAGAGGAACUAGGAAUCUAUCAAUUACUGGGCAGGAAUGCAUUUGUAUUACAUUCUGGUAAAGAAUCUAGCUACAUUCUGCUGGUGUCCUGAGAACUUGUGUGGGUUGAAUUUAAAAGUAGUGGAUUAAUUUACUCAGUGGAGGAAAUUUAAAGAUAGGAUAACAUUCGGUCCAUAACAUGGCUGACUACUUCAUGUAUAUAUAUAUAUGUGUGUGUGUGUGUGUGUGUGUGUGUGUGUGUGUGUGUGUGUGUAUUAGUAAUAGUAACAGGAAGAACGACUUUUUAAAAAUAUGCAUCUUGGUGAGAAAUGGAACAUAGAUACAUUUAAAGAUUCAGUCAAGAUGGGUGCUGAGGAAGAUUAAUUGUCAAAGAAAUCACCUCCUUUUUACAGGGAAAACAGCAAAAGUGCCCUGCAGAUAAAACCCCAUACACCAUGGCUCCAACUUCUGAAAAAUUAAAUUCAUUUGAAAGGAGAGAGCCUGGUCAUAGAAUGCAGUCUAAGGGAUUACCUUCAAAACAACCAUUUAGAGAAGUGUUGCCAUCUGUGUACCCUGGAAUACACAUUGAGGCGAGUGCACUGUUGACUAGGGGGUAGGCUCCAUUCUUAGUUUUCCACACAACAUGCCAAUAUGGUCCAUUCCAUACAGUUGGUUUCAUAGACACAAAAGUUUGAGACUGAAGAUGUCUCCGAGUCUUACUUAAAACAGUUUCCAGAGAGCAGUGAGGCCCAAUUGUGGGAGGCAGAGUUAGAGUCCAUGUAGGAAAGCCAUGAGACGCCAUUGUGUGAAGCUUUGAGGGAGAAUCCCAUGGUUUAUUAGAGGCUCUAGAUUUCAAUUGAAUCUAGAAUCACUCAAAAAACAAGCAUCUGAUUACAUCUGUACACAAUGAACUAGAUCAGGAUACCUGAGGUAGAAACAAUUCCAAGCAUAGAUAAUACUGUUCUGUUCACUGCAGGCAUAGACUAAAUGAGGAGAAAAAGUCAACUGAGUACAGUCACCCAUCAUUACUUCCUAGCUUGUGACUGCACGUGUGACGUGAGCAGCUGUUUCAUGGUCUCACUGCCUUCUCUUCUUACCGCGAUGGACUAAAAUCAACCCCUUCCUUCCUUCGGAUCCUUUUGUCAAAGUAAUGAGACAAAGAACCUAGAAAGUCAUAUAUAUCAUGACACAAUUUACCCAAGUACUUGGAAAUACAGGAUGCACCACACAAGAGAGGUCAGAAGAAGAAGUAAACCCUAGAAGGUAGAAAAAUUCUGCAAAACAUCAACUUAGGGACUUCAAACAAUGUAACUCUCGUUUUAUAGCACCUGUGGCAGACUCCAAUGUGACUCCACGGGACUGGAUCUGUUCAUGGUCAGUUGUGGAGGAAAAAAGGGCAUAUGGGUCCCUGUUCUUCUCUGGUGGCCUUAAACCUGUACUGCAAUGGGAGUGCAGACAAAUGACACCAUGACUGAUCAGUCUGGCAGUACUCCUCCAUGUUAGCCAAGCAGGAUUAUUUGGGAGUUCAUACUUCACAGAAGGGUUUGAUGGAGCUUGUUAGCGCCCAAGUACAGAAAGGAAGUGAAAGUGCAUGGCUACGGACAUCCUCACUAAUAUCUGCAUUCGUCUGAGGAAUAAACACCAAAGGAGAAGGCCUAUCAGCUGGCCUUCACUAACAUCAAAAACCUUCCUCUCUGGGAAGUACACUGUCAGACAACAAAAAGAAAAGCCACAGAUCCAGAAAAACUAUUUGAAGAACUAUGAUAAAUAAUUAAGAUAAAAACUACACAAAGAACUAUAAAAAGAACAAUAAGGAAAAAGCAACUCCAUCAAAAAUGAAUCGUUGGUCAAUAAAAGGACAUACGAGUUAUAAAAAAUGAUUAAGAAGUGUUUCAUUUUGAGUCGUUAUAGAAGUAAAAAUUAAAUAAUUCGACAAAACAGCUGCAAAAGAGCCAGGAUACUGACUACUGACAUAAUCAAUAAAUUAUUUGGAAAAAGAGGAGUUUGAUUCAUUGGUGAAGUCAAGAAUAGUAUAGCUGCUUUACAUCUGAUCUUAACCUAAAGGCUGGGAAGUGGUAUAUACAUGUGCAAGUAUAUGUACAUCCCGAAAAAAAAAGAAAGAAAGAAAAAAAAGGGGGGGUUGGGGAUUUAGCUCAGUGGUAGAGUGCUAGAGUGCUUGCCUAGCAACCGCAAGGUCCUGGGUUCGGUCCCCAGCUCCGAAAAAAAAAAAAAAAAAGAAA